GCUAGCGGCAGGCCUAAUACAUGCAAGUCGAGGGGCAGCAGGUUCGAGUUUACUUGAACGCUGGCGACCGGCGCACGGGUGCGUAACGCGUAUGCAACCUACCCACUACAGGGGGAUAGCCAUUGGAAACAGUGAUUAAUACCCCAUAAUGCAUUGAUCUCACCUGGGAUUAUUAGCUAAAGAUUUAUCGGUAGUGGAUGGGCAUGCGUAAGAUUAGCUAGUUGGUAGUGUAAUAGACUACCAAGGCGACGAUCUUUAGCGGGUCUGAGAGGAUGAUCCGCCACACUGGUACUGAGACACGGACCAGACUCCUACGGGAGGCAGCAGUAGGGAAUAUUGGUCAAUGGGGGCAACCCUGAACCAGCCAUGCCGCGUGCAGGAAGACAGCCUUCUGGGUUGNAAACUGCUUUUAUCAGGGGGGAAUUACCGGGAUGCGUCCCGGGGUUGACAGUACCUGAUGAAUAAGCACCGGCUAACUCCGUGCCAGCAGCCGCGGUAAUACGGAGGGUGCGAGCGUUGUCCGGAUUUAUUGGGUUUAAAGGGUGCGU
rnacentral:rRNA from 1 species